rnacentral:rRNA from 1 species
AUUGAACGCUGGCGGCAUGCUUUACACAUGCAAGUCGAACGGCAGCGCGGGCUUCGGCCUGGCGGCGAGUGGCGAACGGGUGAGUAAUACAUCGGAACGUGCCCAGUAGUGGGGGAUAGCUCGGCGAAAGCCGGAUUAAUACCGCAUACGACCUGAGGGUGAAAGCGGGGGAUCUUCGGACCUCGCGCUAUUGGAGCGGCCGAUGGCAGAUUAGCUAGUUGGUGGGGUAAAGGCCUACCAAGGGGACGAUCUGUAGCUGGUCUGAGAGGACGACCAGCCACACUAGGACUGAGACACGGCCCAGACUCCUACGGGAGGCAGCAGUGGGGAAUUUUGGACAAUGGGCGAAAGCCUGAUCCAGCAAUGCCGCGUGUGUGAUGAAGGCCUUCGGGUUGUAAAGCACUUUUGGCGGGAACGAAAAGGACUGUGCCAAUACCACGGUUCGAUGACGGUACCCGCAGAAUAAGCACCGGCUAACUACGUG